AGAUCAUCUUCGCUGUGAAAGAGGACACAAAAACUGGAGGGUAGAGGGUGGUCGGGUUGGUGUUUCGAUUGUUCUCUUUCUUUUCUGGCCAUGGCAUGCAUUAAUCACCGAAGCCUCCGCGGAGUGCCGCCGGCUCCGCCGAUGAGCCCUCGCAUGUCGUUCUCGAGCGACUUUAACAUGGAGCCGCCACCGGCACGCACCCCCGGUCCUCCGCCCGACCCUGACUUUGAGUUCUCGGUCGGCAGCCGCCCGAUGAUCGCCGCCGACCAACUCUUCUUCAAGGGCCGGCUUCUUCCUCUUAAGGACAGCCACCAAGGCGGCGGUCAUCAUAGGAUCACGACCCUCCGCGAUGAGCUCCGCGCUAACGACGACGAGGAGCGGCCGCCCAAAGGAUCCGUCAGGUGGAAGGGACUUCUUGGGCUGAGAAGGCCGGCGCCGAAGAAGGGCGAUAAGAAAGAAGACGAGUUUCUCGGCAAGUAUUCAUAGGAGCUAUGAAUCUAAUCUCCGGUAAGGGAGGAGAUACAGUAAAUACAGUGGCCUCUUCUUCAUCUAAUUAGUUCCGUGAUGUUGUUGUUCACUCGUGUGAAAAGUUUGCCUGUAUUACUGCGUUCGUAGGGAGGAGUUUGAAGAAACUUCGAGUUGUUUUCGUCGGAUUGGUUAAUGACAUUAACUCUCUGGAAAGAAAUCAGCAGUAUUUUGCC